GCGGGGAGCCGGCGGCCAGGGCGGCGCUCAGACUGGGCCGGGAGCUCCGGCUGCGCGGGCUCUCGGCGGCCGCGGCGACAGCAUCCUCCACCGCCUCCUCUCUUUCUUUUCUUCCCCUCCGCUUCUUUCUUUUCUUUCUCCUUCUCCUUCUUCUUUUCCUGCCCUGUCCCACCCCGACCCACCCCCCUGCUCCUUCUCCAGAGGACCUUAGGUCCUCAGGUCCCUGAGCGGUGGCAGCGGCGACUGCGGGUGCAUCGUUUCCGCGCCCAGAUGUACUUCACUUUGAUCUCAGUUUUAGGAAGUCAUUGCAAUUCAGUGGAGCCAAAUGUGAUUUUAUUCAUCUGAUCCAACCUGUCUUGUGACUGCUGGCUGGAAUUAAGAUAGUCAUGUUGGCUGGUGCCGGGGUUGUGUCGAGAGAUAUGCUCUCAGAAUCAUGACCCCCUGAGCAGAAGUAGCUUCGGAGAGAUUGUAUGGAAGGAGCUUCGGCUUUCCACUUCUCCCCAUCUGAUCUUCUCAGAAAACCACUCCCUGCAAGAAGAAAACCAACAAAUGAUUCAUUUGAAUUAAAAAGAGUAUGUUUGCCCUGCCAAUUUAAAAGUCCCCAAACCACCUCCUCUACUUCUUAAGUUCCUAUAACUUUGUAGUUAUCACUACUUUCAAGGUAAAUGAGUUCCAAAUAGUCAGUCAUUCAAGUGACAGCAAUGCUUAAAAUACCAGCAUUAUACAGGAUGCUUGGGGCUGGUGCACUGAGACGACCCAGAGGGAUGGUACAGGGAGGGAGGAGGGAGAGGGGUUCAGGAUGGGGAACAUGUGUAUACCUGUGGCGGAUUCAUGUUGAUGUAUGGCAAAACCAAUACAGUAUUGUAAAGUAAUUAACCCCCAAUUAAAAUAAAUCAAUUUAUAUUUAAAAAAAUAAAAAUAAAAAAAUAAAAAUAAAGUGGCAGUAUUUUAGAUAUAUUGGGUAAAUAAAAUAUACUAUGAAAAUUAAAAAAAAAGAAUACCAGCAAAUUUUCCCUUCUCCAGGGGAUCUUCCCAACUCAGGGAUUGAACCCAGGUCUCUGGCAUUGCAGGCGGAUUCUUUACCAACUGAGCCACCAGGGAAGCUUAAAAGAUCUAAAGAAG
rnacentral:lncRNA from 1 species